UCAUGGCCAUUUAGGUCAUGACAAAGUUGGUAUCAGAGCUCUAGGUUCGUUGAUCUCGUCAUACAAAAACAUGUCUAGUAUAGUCUUGCGGAACGGUACAAAGACGUCUGUACUUUUCUUCGAGAGGCUAUAGGACACUAGAAAAAUUCAAAUUCUUCUUUCUUACAUGUUAUUACUUGAUUUCAAAUUGUAUCCGGCGAUACCAAUUGGUAUGUUACUUCUUUCAUUCUUAUUCUCGAAGAUGGGUGCGGUGGAGUGUGUCACAAUAGGAGGUUUUUUCUUAAUUUGAGGCAUUAUGGUUAUUUUAGCCAGCA
rnacentral:lncRNA from 1 species